GAUCAUGGCUCAGGAUGAACGCUAGCUACAGGCUUAACACAUGCAAGUCGAGGGGCAGCAGAUCGAUAGCUUGCUAUUGAUGCUGGCGACCGGCGCACGGGUGAGUAACGCGUAUCCAACCUUCCCUAUAGUAGAGGAUAGCCCGGCGAAAGUCGGAUUAAUACUCUAUGUUUUCCAAUGCAGACAUCUAAGUUGGAACAAAGGUUUACCGCUAUAGGAUGGGGAUGCGUCUGAUUAGGUUGUUGGCGGGGUAACGGCCCACCAAGCCUACGAUCAGUAGGGGUUCUGAGAGGAAGGUCCCCCACAUUGGAACUGAGACACGGUCCAAACUCCUACGGGAGGCAGCAGUGAGGAAUAUUGGUCAAUGGGCGAGAGCCUGAACCAGCCAAAGUAGCGUGCAGGAUGACGGCCCUAUGGGUUGUAAACUGCUUUUAUACGGGGAUAAAGUGAGGGACGUGUCCCUUUUUGUAGGUACCGUAUGAAUAAGGACCGGCUAAUUCCGUGCCAGCCGCAGC
rnacentral:rRNA from 1 species